UGGGGAAUUUUGGACAAUGGGCGAAAGCCUGAUCCAGCGAUGCCGCGUGUGUGAAGAAGGCCUUCGGGUUGUAAAGCACUUUUGUCCGGAAAGAAAUCCUGGCUCUAAUACGUCGGGGGAUGACGGUACCGGAAGAAUAAGCACCGGCUAACUACGUGCCAGCAGCCGCGGUAAUACGUAGGGUGCAAGCGUUAAUCGGAAUUACUGGGCGUAAAGCGUGCGCAGGCGGUUUGCUAAGACCGAUGUGAAAUCCCCGGGCUCAACCUGGGAACUGCAUUGGUGACUGGCAGGCUAGAGUAUGGCAGAGGGGGGUAGAAUUCCACGUGUAGCAGUGAAAUGCGUAGAGAUGUGGAGGAAUACCGAUGGCGAAGGCAGCCCCCUGGGCCAAUACUGACGCUCAUGCACGAAAGCGUGGGGGAGCAAAACAGGAUUAGAUACCCUGGUAGUCCCACGCCCUAAAACGAUGUCAACUAGUUGUUGGGGGAUUCAUUUUCCUUAGUAACGUAGCUAACGCGUGAAGUUGACCGCCUGGGGAGUACGGUCGCAAGAUUAAAACUCAAAGGAAUUGACGGGGUCAUAGCUGUUUCCU
rnacentral:rRNA from 1 species